AGGCUUGAUCCCUUUCUCUGCAUCUUGCCCCCUGUUGCCACUCCGGUGCUGCCUCCCUCCUCCCCCUUCCCUCCUCCCUACUCCGCUGCUGCCUCUUAGGAAAUCGGGCCGGGUUAGACAAUUAAAAUUGCCCUUGGGCGCCGAUUUCUCUUCUCUGCUCUGGUUCAGCGAGCCCUUCGCCUCAAAAUUCUUUGCUGCUGGGGCAGGAUUGUGUUCGGUGGCUCCGGAAAGGCAGUUUUAAGCAGCUGAGAGCUGGAAAGCUGUGAGCUCUCCCACCCCAACUGAAGGGGGUGGGGGUGGGGCUGGGUUGAUCACCCGCUGCGCUGCUUGAUCCUUCUCAGCCGCUCAGCCCAGAGCACUCCUGCAAAAGAGUUUAAACUAUCUUCUGCCAGAAGAUCACCUUUCUGCCCUGCACACAAACCCCACAUCUCUACUUUGAACCCAGAUAGCCUCUUGUUCUGUUCAGCAACAGUUGACCCGAGGCUAGUGCUUGGGAGAAGAUGGCUCCUGGGGUGGGGUAGGGGGGUUGUUCGUUCCCAUUCUGAUUGGAAAGGAGGGGUUCCUGUUCUUUGUUUUGUGCCGCCCUUUUUAGCUUCUUGUUUUUAAAAAGGUGUAUGAGGGCUCUCUCCUCAGUUCCACCUACAUUCCGAAAUCCCUUGGUUUGUGUGGAAUAGAGCCUGAUGUAUUUGUACUUAGAUGGCUGAUACUGGGCAAAGUAGGACUGUGGUCAGAAGUUAUGUGGGACAUUCCUAUUUCUAACUCCAAGACACUUUUGCUUAUAAGGGCACCCCACCUUGGCUUUUAAUGUUUCAAGGACAAAAGUUACUAUCCUGGAGGAAGCUUUGCCGCUGGCCUUUGCUUUUUUUUUUUUUUUUUUUUUUUUUUGUGAUGGAGUGAGUAAGGCGGCAGUGAGGGCCUGUGGGUUUUGUUGUUGGCCUCUACUUCCUCUAAAGUGUGAUCCACCUGGAGGAAACCCCUCUGGUCCAGUUUCCUUUGCUGUUCUUUUCUAUUUGGGAUGUAGGAGGGCCCAGCUUGGCCUUGAGCUCACAAUCAUCCUCCUGCCUUGGCCUCCAAAGUGUGCAUCAUUGUACCCUGUUCUUGAGUCUGCGCUGCUUACUUUUUUAUUUGAUAUAUUACUAGGACUUUUAAAUUUCUUCUCUUUCUCUUUUUCCUUUUACUAUAAUUUUUGAGACAAUCUUACUGUGAAGCCCUGUUUGACUUGACAUUGUAUUUGCCCAAGUUGACUUCCAAUCUAUGCCAAUCAUUCCUGCCUGGGUCUCCUGAAUGCUGGGAUUACAGGUGUGCACCACCAUGGCCCAGCGCGCUCACUCGUGCGCUCUCUCUCUCUCUCUCUCUCUCUCUCUCUCUCUCUUUCUCUUUUUUAAAGUGUUGGCUAAUAUUACCUCUAUGGUGGAGUAGUUGUUAACGAAGAUUGGUAACUACUGUUGAAUGAACAUUUGAUAAACUCUGUUAUCUUUUUUUUUAAUCUCAAUAUUUAAUAAUGUUGAAACUGUUUAAUAAAAGUCUGAAGCAUCUUAAGAGCAUUUGCUACACAAUCAGGAGGAACAGAGUUUGGAUUUCAGUACCCACACAGCAACCUGGGGUGUCUGGCAUAGCCCAUUAAGUCCAGCUUGGGUGGGGGGCAGAGGCACGAUUAUUGGCACUUAACUAGCUUCUAACCUUGUUGGGAUCUGUCGGUCCAGGUCAUAGCUUAGCUGAGAAAACACCCAGGUUAUGGAGAAACUGCCUCUGAGGAAUAGGCAGAGAGUAACCCAGUGCCUUCUCACUUCCCAAGCUCAGCACACCUGGGACACACGUACUCACACACGUAGACACAUACUUUAGUUUUAGUUUUUUAAAGCUACUUUUAUUUAUUGAAGGGGGGGCGUGCCAUGGAGCACAGGUGGAAGUCAGAACAAGAGUUGAUUUUCUCUUCUACUCUGGUUCCUAGGGAUUGACUCAGGACGUCAGGUUGUCCUGUUUGGCAGCAAGUACCUUCACCUCCUGAGCCAUCUUUCUCCUAAUAUAAAUAAACCUUUAUAUUAAAAACAACAACAACAAAAACAAAUUGAGGAAUGGAGAGUGUGCUAUCUUUUUGCCUCAGCUUUUAAACUCUAAAGCUGAACACUGAGUCUUCUGAGAUGAGUGUAGAGCUUGUCAAGGCCUUUUGUUUUUGUUCUAGUUUUUUUCUUUUUAUGAGUACAUUGUCGCUGUCUUCCUCACAUCCCAUUACAGAUGGUUGUGAGCCACCAUGUGGUUGCCAGGAAUUGAACUCAGGACCUCUGGAAGAGCAGUUAGUGCUCUUAACCGCUGAGCCAUCUCUCCAGCCCCAGAGCUUGUCAAGUUUUAACUAUGUUUUUUGUUUUAGCUGGAGGGAGGGGUCUCUAGUUGUUGGGGAGACUCAGGUUUGCUCAGGCUCUGCGUUUGACUAUUUCCCCCUUUUUCUGAGAUUAUGAAUGGGUAAUGAGAUUGGAGAACAGUAGUAACUGAGGUAGGCUUUGUUUUACUGCAUCAGUUCUCCCUGAAGGUGUCAGUACUGAGAGUACCACUGACUUACCUGAGUUAGUCUCUAAGUCAUAAAACAUUUCUAUGUCUCAGUGAAAAGGCAGGAAGCCUUUUGAAUGAGAAUCUCCUAGGUGCUUUCAUUUUAUAAGCGAGGAUUUCCCCCACUUUUGUGUUUUUUUUCAGCCAGAGUUGUGAGGUCAAGCAGUUAAUAUGUGAGAAGAUUUUUGGUUCCUGGGUGUGUUUUCCUGUUACUACUUCCUUGUAUGGAGAAGGUUGAAUGCAGCUGUGUUCCUCCUGUCUCUUUAGAACACGCUGAGACGACAUUACUUAGAUAAGCAUAGUAAUGAUAGUGUCCCUUAUGUACAGAGUGUAUGACAAUGAGUAAAAGCUAUAGCAGGGCGGUGGUGGCGCACGCAUUUAAUCCCAGCACUUGGGAGGCAGAGGCAGGCGGAUUUCUGAGUUCGAGGCUAGCCUGGUCUACAGAGUAAGUUCCAGGACAGCCAGGGCUAUACAGAGAAACCCUGUCUCGGAAAACCUAAAUAAAUAAAUAAAUAAAUACAUAAAUAAAUAAAUAAAUAGUUCUAUGAGAUGACUGAGUACAGGUUUGCCUACUGGAGACCCAGCCUUCUAAAGGAUGCAGCUAGAAGAGUGAAAAUUCCAAGUUUGCCUGGUCUGUGUGGGGAAACAAACAAACAAACAAACAAAAAACAAGCAAACAAACAAAAGGUCCUUUGUCUGGAUUUUUGCCUGCCUGCUUUAUGGUAAUCAGUAUAUAUUAAAAAGUCCCAGAAAGCUGGGCGUGGUGGCGCACACUUUUAGUCCCAGCACUUGGGAGGCAGAGGCAGAUGGAUUUCUGAGUUCGAGGCCAGCCUGGUCUACAGAGUGAGUUCCAGGACAGCCAGGACUACACAGAGAAACCCUGUCUUGAAAAACCAAAAAAAAAAAAAAAAAAAAGUCCCUGAAAUGGUUCUUUUGGUGGGAUGGUACUGGGAAUUGAAGCUAAUGAGGGCCUGGUUAAUCUUCUGCCUCAGUUUCCCAAGUAGCCAAGAUUAUAAGCCUGAAAUACCAAGCCUAGACAGAGGUGAUUAGUAGGCAAACCUUAUCUCUUGGGCUUGACACAACACUAAACCGUUCCUUAUGAUAGGAAAGGACUGCUCACACCUUGCUUUUGUCCUACCUUUUCCCUCAGGGAUCAGUGUACUGUGGAAAAUCAUUCUGGUUAGGAUCUUUCUAGGUUUUCUUUCAGUUAUGAUUCUCUGAAUUAGGAAAUAAGUUGUGCUGUGCCUAAUAUCAUAACCUCAGAGUGCUAACAGGAGUUACCAAGCCUGGCCCUGGAGAACUGGAAGGUUUUCAAGUGUUUGCUGGCGACCCUGACCCUGUCAUCACAGUGGUGUAUAAGUAACCCUCCACUGAGUGAAGAGAUGUUGCCUCCUGGGGAGUGGAUGUGUCACCGGUGUACUGUCCGCCGAAAGAAACGAGAGCAGAAAAAGGAGCUUGGCCAUGUCAAUGGACUGGUGGACAAGUCUAGCAAACGGACUACAUCCCCCAGCAGUGACACUGACUUGUUGGACAGACCAGCUAGCAAAACUGAACUCAAGGCCAUUGCCCAUGCCCGGAUCCUGGAAAGGAGAGCCAGCCGGCCUGGCACCCCCACAUCCAACGCCAGCACAGAGACCCCCACCUCUGAGCAUAAUGACGUCGAUGAGGACAUCGUUGACGUGGACGAGGAGCCAGUCGCAGCAGAGCCGGACUAUGUGCAGCCCCAGCUGCGGCGGCCUUUUGAGCUGCUGAUUGCUGCUGCCAUGGAGCGGAACCCUACCCAGUUUCAGUUGCCCAACGAACUGACCUGUACCACUGCACUACCAGGUUCUAGCAAACGGAGAAGAAAGGAAGAAACCACAGGGAAGAAUGUAAAAAGGACACAGCAUGAGUUAGACCAUAAUGGUCUUGUUCCCUUGCCGGUCAAAGUCUGCUUCACAUGUAACAGGAGUUGUCGAGUGGCCCCCCUCAUCCAGUGUGACUAUUGCCCGCUUCUGUUUCACAUGGACUGCCUCGAGCCCCCGCUCACUGCCAUGCCCCUGGGCAGAUGGAUGUGUCCGAAUCACAUCGAACAUGUGGUGCUGAACCAGAAGAACCUGACUCUGAGCAAUCGGUGCCAGGUGUUUGAUCGGUUCCAGGACACCAUUUCACAACAUGUUGUCAAAGUAGAUUUCCUGAACCGAAUCCACAAGAAGCACCCUCCUAACCGCCGUGUGCUCCAGUCUGUCAAAAGAAGAAGCUUGAAGGUUCCUGAUGCUAUAAAAUCUCAGUACCAGUUUCCACCCCCGCUUAUUGCACCCGCGGCCAUUCGGGACGGGGAGCUGAUCUGCAGUGGGGUCCCUGAGGAAUCACAAACGCACCUUUUGAACUCUGAGCACUUAGCCACUCAGGCAGAGCAGCAGGAGUGGCUCUGUAGUGUUGUUGCGCUCCAGUGCAGCAUAUUGAAACAUUUAUCUGCUAAGCAGAUGCCUUCGCCUUGGGACUCUGAACAGACAGAGAAGGCUGAUAUUAAGCCUGUUAUUGUGACUGACAGCUCAAUCACCACCUCCCUGCAAACCGCUGACAAGGCACCUCUUCCUUCCCACUACCCUUUGUCCUGCCCCUCAGCAGUGAGCACCCAAAAUUCCCUGGGCUGCUCUCCACCCCACCAACCCCCAACCCUAGAAGACAUCAGCUGCAGUUCUUGUGUGGAAAAGUCCAAGAAAGCCCCUUGUGGGACUGCCAAUGGGCCGGUGAACACAGAGAUAAAAGCCAAUGGCCCACACCUCUACAGCAGCCCCACUGAUUCCACGGAUCCCCGGCGACUUCCUGGCGCCAACACCCCUUUACCAGGCCUCACACACCGGCAAGGCUGGCCCCGGCCCCUCACGCCACCAUCGGCUGGGGGACUUCAGAACCACGUCGGCAUCAUUGUGAAGACAGAAAAUGCCACUGGCCCCAGCUCUUGUCCCCAGAGGAGUUUGGUACCCGUCCCAAGCCUGCCCCCUUCCAUUCCCAGCUCUUGUGCCAGCAUCGAGAACACCAGCACUUUGCAUAGAAAGACUGUCCAGUCACAGAUAGGACCUUCGUCGACAGAAUCGAGGCCUCUGGGCUCACCCCCAAAUGCCACCCGGGUGCUCACUCCCCCCCAGGCUGCAGGAGACAGUAUCUUGGCCACAGGUGCCAACCAACGAUUCUGCUCACCAGCGCCAUCAUCAGCUCUAGGAGUUCCAGAGCCUGUGGGUUGAGAAUCAAGAAGGGAACAUCACCUUGGAUGGCAAGGUCAGCCCCGGCACGUUAUCCAUAGGAAGCGCUUUAACCGUACCCUCUUUCCCAGCCAACUCUACUGCCAUGGUGGACCUCACCAACUCACUUCGAGCAUUUAUGGAUGUCAACGGAGAAAUCGAGAUAAAUAUGUUGGAUGAGAAGCUGAUCAAGUUUCUGGCCUUGCAGAGAGUACAUCAGCUUUUCCCUUCCCGGGUCCAAGCUUCACCGGGCAAUGUUGGGACACAUCCGCUGGCUUCUGGAGGGCACCACCCAGAAGUGCAAAGAAAGGAGGUACAGGCCCGAGCUGUGUUCUGCCCCCUCUUAGGGUUGGGAGGAGCUGUGAACAUGUGCUAUCGAACCCUCUACAUCGGGACAGGAGCUGACAUGGAUGUGUGCCUUACAAACUAUGGUCACUGUAACUACGUGUCCGGGAAACAUGCCUGCAUAUUCUACGAUGAGAAUACCAAACAUUAUGAGCUGUUAAACUACAGUGAGCAUGGGACAACGGUGGACAAUGUGCUGUAUUCAUGUGACUUCUCUGAGAAGACCCCGCCAACCCCCCCAAGCAGUAUUGUUGCCAAAGUACAGAGUGUCAUCAGGCGCCGCCGACACCAGAAACAGGAUGAAGAGCCAAGUGAGGAGGCAGCCAUGAUGAGUUCCCAGGCCCAGGGGCCACAGCGGAGACCCUGCAAUUGCAAAGCCAGCAGCUCAAGCUUGAUUGGGGGCAGUGGGGCCGGCUGGGAGGGCACAGCCUUACUCCACCAUGGCAGCUACAUCAAGCUGGGCUGCCUGCAGUUUGUCUUCAGCAUCACUGAGUUUGCGACCAAACAGCCCAAAGGCGAUGCCAGCCUGCUGCAGGAUGGGGUCUUGGCUGAGAAACUCUCUCUCAAGCCCCAUCAGGGCCCUGUGCUGCGCUCCAACUCCGUUCCCUAGGCCAUUGGCCUGGACGCCCACCCAAGACUCCUGCAAUGCAAAAAUGUACACGAACCAAGCCUGGGUGUUUUCUAUACCAGAAACCCUCAACUACAAUCUUUGCAUGAAAUGAAGAAAACCUUUUGACUGUUUUUUAAGACUUUUUUUCUUUUCUCAAGUUCUAGGGGGCAUUUGCACAUAUAUUUGUACUCAACAUUUCAUGGGAAAGCGGCAGAUCCGCGCUGAGGAGCAGCGAGGGCAGGGACAGGAGGCCCUGGUCUGGACACUUCCUCCAGCACAAUCCCUUCCCCCGCCUCCUGCUCCUCCCCCUCGACCGCCUGCCCACUGUUGUAAAAUAAUCAGAAACUUGUUCUAUUUUGUGGCAGUGACAAUAGUUUUAUAUUAAAAGAAAAAAAUACAGUUUUCAUACAGCAAAAUCUAUACAAUAUCAUUGUUUUAUUUAAUAUAAAGAUCGCUACCCACUCCUUUCCAUGGUUCCCACCCUACAAGGACUUCCCCUCUCUGCAGCAGUUGCACUACAGGUAGCUACUGUGUAUAUGGACAAAUGAGAAAUGAAUCCUUUUUUCUGGCUGUCCAUCUAUUUUAUUUCAAAUAAGGAAAAGUGUAUUUGGAUUUUGUGUAAAUACAUCUAGUGAUGGCAUUUUUUCAAUGUUUUUAAAAGCUGUGUACAGUACAUGUGGUAGAGUGUUUCUCAAAUUGUCUAUUGUAGCAAAGGCGUUUUUGUCGUAAACCUGUUCUGUGUCCUUUUUUGUUCUUACCACUUCUCUUCCUCCUCACCCCAGAUACUUCCUCUUCCCCACAACCAAUGUACAUAGUAAUUGUAAUGUUUUAGACUUGACAGAAACUUUCCUGUAUUCUGUAUAUAAAAACCAAAAAUACUUCAAAUUA